GCGCUGGUUUAGCUCAGUGGUUACUUCGUUCAACUCUUCUAAACAGAAAUGUUGUCCCUCCCCUAACCGGGAUCAAACCACGGGCGCUGUCCAGCCUUUUG
ensembl:misc_RNA Vault Vault RNA